GGUCAAGUGAUGAUGUAUAACUGCAACAAUAUGACAGGAGUUAAUAUUUUCCUGUGAUUCCUAGUUUUAAGACUGAUGAUC
rfam:Brachypodium distachyon strain Bd21 chromosome 3, whole genome shotgun sequence.